CGUUAGUAGUAGCAGAAAGGUUAUUAGGGAUAAGCUUAAUAUCUUAUAUCUAUAUAGGGUAGGGAAUUAGGGUUAUUUAGGAUUAAUAGUGUCUUUAGGUUUUGUAACUAACUAUGUUUUUAUUAUAUUAGUAAGUUAUACAAGGGUAUCUUGAAAUUUUAUUUGUUAGUAAUAAUGGGAGAAUUAGUAGAUUGUAUUUUAGUUUGUAAUUUAGAUCCUUUAUUUAAGGUAAUUCAACACCUGACUAUUGGUAAGGAACUCGGCAAAAAUUUCUUCUAACUGUUUAUCAAAAACAUUUCUUUAAGAGAGGAUUUAAAGUAUAUUCUGCCCCCUGAUUAAGUUAUUAAAGGGCCGCAGUAGCCUGACUGUGCUAAGGUAGCAUAAUCAUUAGGUUUUUAAUUGGGAUCUGGAAUGAAUGAAUGAAUAGGGGGAGUCUGUCUAUCAAUAGUAUCUGAACUUAAAUUUUUAGUAAGAAUGCUAGAAUGGACUAGUGGGACGAUAAGACCCUAUAAAGCUUUACUAGCCUCUAGUUGAAAUUUUUACUACUUUUAUGAAUAGGUUUAGUUUUGCUGGGGCGGUAGCUAGUUAACUUAGUUAAUUUUCUCUUUUUUUGGAUCCAUCUUUGGUGAAAUAAGAUCAAGUUACUUUAGGGAUAACAGCAUAAUAUACCUAUGGAGUUCUAAUCGAAGGGUAUGGUUGUGACCUCGAUGUUGAAUUAACCUUAUUGUAAGGCGAAGAAGCUUUAUGAGUUAGUCUGUUCGACUAUUGAAGGGUUACGUGAUUUGAGUUCAAACCGGUUUAAGCCAGGUUGGUUUCUAUCUACUGGGUUUAAAAAGUUUUUUAGUACGAAAGGACCAAAGACUUUAGAGUUUCUAGUUAAUAUAUUUUUAACUUACUUUAGGUAGAA
rnacentral:rRNA from 1 species